rnacentral:pre_miRNA from 1 species
GGAAUAUAAGAACUUGUCUCUUAACUUUUAACUAAAAAAGCUAAGAACCGGUUCUUAAAUAAGAGUUUUAAGAGACGGUUUUUAGUUUUUUUAAUUAAAAGUUAAGAGACGGAUUUUUAUAUUCU